rnacentral:rRNA from 1 species
UACGUAGGGUGCGAGCGUUAAUCGGAAUUACUGGGCGUAAAGGGUGCGCAGGCGGCUCCGCAAGUCAGACGUGAAAUCCCCGGGCUUAACUUGGGAAUGGCGUUUGAAACUAUGGAGCUCGAGUGUGGCAGAGGGAGGUGGAAUUCCACGUGUAGCGGUGAAAUGCGUAGAUAUGUGGAGGAACACCGAUGGCGAAGGCAGCCUCCUGGGCUAACACUGACGCUCAUACACGAAAGCGUGGGGAGCAAACAGGAUUAGAUACCCUAGUAGU